UACGUAGGGACCGAGCGUUGUCCGGAUUCAUUGGGCGUAAAGAGCUCGUAGGCGGUUCGUCGCGUCGGCUGUGAAAAUCCCGAGGCUCAACCUCGGGUCUGCAGUCGAUACGGGCGGACUGGAGUUCGGCAGGGGAGACUGGAAUUCCUGGUGUAGCGGUGAAAUGCGCAGAUAUCAGGAGGAACACCAAUAGCGAAGGCAGCUCGCUGGGACGUAACUGACGCUGAGACGCGAAAGCGUGGGGAGCAAACAGG
rnacentral:rRNA from 1 species